UGUGGCUCAGUGGUAGAACACUUGCCUAGCAUGCAUGAGACCCUGGGUUCAAUUCUUAGCA
rnacentral:tRNA from 1 species